rnacentral:rRNA from 1 species
AGGACGAACGCUGGCGGCGUGCCUAAUACAUGCAAGUCGAACGAGACUUUCCUUGGUGGUAACACCUUUGAUUGUCUAGUGGCGAACGGGUGAGUAACACGUGAGAAACCUGCCCUGAAGACGGGGAUAACAGGAGGAAACUCCUGCUAAUACCCGAUACCCCCACCGGAUCGCAUGGUCUGGUGAGGAAAUGGAUUCCGCUUCAGGAGGGUCUCGCGGCCUAUCAGCUUGUGGUGAGGUAACGGCUUACCAAGGCUUGGACGGGUAGCUGGUCUGAGAGGACGAUCAGCCACACUGGGACUGAGACACGGCCCAGACUCCUACGGGAGGCAGCAGUAAGGAAUAUGCGCAAUGGGCGAAAGCCUGACGCAGCAACGCGCGUGCGGGAUGAAGGCCUCGGGUUGUAAAACCGCUUUCAGUAGGGAAGAAAAUGACGGUACCUACAGAAGAAGCCCCGGACAACUACGUGCCAGCAGCCGAC